GUGGGGAAUAUUGGACAAUGGGCGAAAGCCUGAUCCAGCCAUGCCGCGUGUGUGAAGAAGGUCUUCGGAUUGUAAAGCACUUUAAGUUGGGAGGAAGGGCAGUAAGUUAAUACCUUGCUGUUUUGACGUUACCGACAGAAUACGCACCGGCUAACUUCGUGCCAGCAGCCGCGGUAAUACGAAGGGUGCAAGCGUUAAUCGGAAUUCCUGGUCGUAAAGCGCGCGUAGGUGGUGUUGUAAGUUGGAGGUGAAAUCCCCGGGCUCAACCUGGGAACUGACUCCAAAACUGCAUGACUAGAGUACGGUAGAGGGUAGGGGAAUUUCCUGUGUAGCGGUGAAAUGCGUAGAUAUAGGAAGGAACACCAGUGGCGAAGGCGACUACCUGGACUGAUACUGACACUGAGGUGCGAAAGCGUGGGGAGCAAACAGGAUUAGAAACCCCAGUAGUCC
rnacentral:rRNA from 1 species